rnacentral:sRNA from 20 species
AUCGGGGUAGUGGCCGGUGAACAUGGUCGGCCGGCUCGGCACACA